rnacentral:lncRNA from 1 species
CUGUUGUGAGGGCUGUGAUGAAGUAUGGGAUGAAACAUUUUGCAGUAGAUGAGAACAGGCGUGACACCUACAACCACUCAUCGACUUCUGGACAUGAGCAACGUACCUUUUCCACCUUGGAUGGAGAAUUGAAGCAACUAAUUCCGGUGUGUUUUAUGUUUGUAUAAUGGCAAUAACAGUUAUUAAUGCAUUAGUUAGAAGAUUAUUGUAUGAGCUGUAUAGCUGGAAUGUGUGAUCGACCCUAUACUCAUUGAGUGCAGGUAAGGAAUCCUAAACUUUUUGUUUAUUAAUAAACUGCAUACAAAGUUGUGGUGCAGGUAGGCUUGCGCUGGUAAUUUGUUAUGUUUAUAUAUCUAGCCAAAAGGAUGUUCAAGUAUUCUGACAACUAGUGUUUAUGAGGGAACAAUAAAAAACUAUCCAGAUCAGCGGCAGAAUAGAAUGCUCAAUCCCUUAUAUUGACUAAUUCUUUUUAUCUCCCUCGAUUUUAUUUUGGUCAAUUGUAUUGUUUAUCAGGUUGGUUUGACUGCAGGAAAUGGUAAGCCUUUUUUCCCCUUUCAUUGUCCAUCAGGUUGGUUUGAGUGCAGAAAAUGGUUAUGCUACAAGCUUGGCACGUUUUGCUGCAAAUCUUGGACCUGUUGUGUGGAAAAUUGCUUCAAGGAAAAUUGAAAGUGUUUUGCCUAGUGGACUCAAGUUUGGUCCUGGAUGGGUUGUAGAAAACAGGACAGUUGAGCAGCCACAAUGUUCCUUAUCUGAUAAGCAUAGAACUCCGAAUUCUCUAUCUGAUAACCCUCCUGGCAGAUUUUUAUCUACAGCCACUUCUGGUUCAAACUCCAUUGCUGCAAGUAGAUUUCCUUUGCAAGGUAGAGAAGACAUGGAAGCUGUCGUAGGCCUAACUUCUCAAAAUGACUCGACUUCUGCACCUUCUCAUCAGCUUCAGCAAAGUCUUGUCCCACACUCGGGUAUCAAUGGUUCUAUUGGUGGGUUUGGGUUUGGUUAUUACUCUCAAAUGGGGUUGGUAACACAUUGUGUAAAUUCCUUGUCUGAAAAGACUUCAGUGCCGACUCAAACACAUGUCAUGGUUUCGGGUGCUAGUAAUUCUCUUCCAAAAGAGGCCAAGCUGGCAGAUAGUUCAAUCACUUUACAUUCUGGAAAUGCAAUGGCUGUGGAGCCUGAAAUGGUGUCACAUGCGGCAGCAACUAAUGUCGGGCUUCAGCGGAGUUCCUAUAAUGAACCGAAUUUCCUUCCAUUUGCUCCUGAUCUUAAUGUGAGAUUUCUGGCACUGGGUUCACCUAGUUCUAGUGUGCCAAUUGGUUCUUCCCAGCGCCCUGAUUUAGCAUUGCAGCUCUAAUAAUUAGCCAACACGAUUUCCGUAUGAUGUGGCUUGUAUGUGCUAAUUGUAGUAUUAGGUCAAGUACGCCUGUAUAUGAUAAUAAGAUUUGGUCGAAUUUACUGACUACAUUCUUCAUUGGAAGGUCGGUUGAGUAGUGGUUCCUCAAGAAGUCAUAGGAUCAUAUUGUCGGUGAGAUUUUGUACAGAUUGGUAUGUCAAAUUCUUUCACAGGGUUAAAAAAUUACAGAUUUGUAUGCAACAUACGGUAUCUAACAUUGUAUAUUUUGAGUUGUUAAUGAAUAUUGUUACCAAUACUACUACUGGUAUUACGUACGAGAUAUCAUUCAUGUCAUGAAUUAUGAAAUGUUCAUGUUUGUAGCAAUGAAGUAAUGCUUAAACUAAUUGAUGCAAAAUAGAGAGCAACUGAUUGCUAAGGGGGGUUGAGUGAUGUUAUAUAAAUUUCAAUUAUAUAUACUUGUGCAUAUAUAAUUAUCUUUAUGUGCAUAUAAAAUUGUCUUUAAAAUUGUGUCCCAUUAUCUAUUAUUAACCAUUGGGAAAACUAUAUCAACAAAUGAUGGUUUUCCAUACAAAUAUCACCAUGUGUCUUUGAUGCCUUUGGAAAUUAGAUCCGUAUAGGAUUACCUGUGUUGGUUUGUGAUAGGACAUGAUAGAGUCCAUGUGUCGCAUGAUUAGCGAAGUAUUCUAGCAAAUUAUAGUCCUUUGACGAGAUACAGAAAGUAUGACUUGGUAUCUUGAUGGACAAGAUGUGAGCCAUGCGAGGUACACUUAUGUCUGAGGUCUAACCAACUCCAACAUUACAUAUAACAUAUAAUUUAUUUAUGUAAUUCGUAUAACACAAAAUAUUAAAUAUUUGUAACAAUUUCUCUGAUUACAUAAAUAUUAUUAAUGUUGUAAUAAUUUGUGUAAUUAAAUAAUAUUUUAUAAGAUUACACUAAAUACUUUAAAAUUAUAAUAUUUUAAUUACAAAAUAUUUUGGAAAGCUCAUCCUCUUAUUUUGUGCUCAAGGUAAAAGUAAAGUAAUAGUUUAAUAGUAUAAUGAUUUAUUUGGCUCUCUAAUUUUAUAAAAAAGUUAUUUUAGUUAAUUUUUUUAUUUUUUUUGUCUUUUGUACAUGUUGAACUUUUAUUUUUUUAAAUUAUCCAAAAAUAGAUGAAAAAAUUAAUGUUAUUUAAUAUUACUGAUCUGGUAUAUACAUAGAUUGUCAUAUAGAUGAGAUGUUAGCAUUUAAUUAAAUUUUUAAAAAAUUUAAAAAGUAUUUUUUAUAAAAAAAUUAAAAAUCAUUAAAAUUUUUAAAACUUAAAAUAAUUAAUUGAAUACUGGUGUGUUAUCCACGUGAUGCUCUACAUGCAUGUAAUGUUAACAAAAUAAAAAAAAACAAUUUUUUCAUCUAUUUUAAAGUGAUUUAAUAAAAAAAUAUAAAUUUAAAGACAAAAAAAAAUAUCAAAAACUAAAAUAACCUUUUUAUAAAAUUAGAGGGUAAAUAAAUAUUAUACCUAAAUUGAUUUACCACAAAAGAGGUGCAACGCUGCAAAUCAAUGCAACUUAGUUUCACGUGAGUGCUGGGCACGCGGACAUCCUUCUAUUUCACGUGACUUUCCCUCCACGCUGGCAUCUGUUCCCCCCUCUCUUCUCCCAAUGUUCCUUCAUAUUAAAAACAUAAUAAAAAAGUAAAUAAUAUAAAAUAAAUAAAUCAAACAGAAAUCAAAAGAUUGUUUAGAUAGCAAAAAAAGAAGAAAAAAAAAAAACGAAAAGGAAAAAGCAAUGGGAGGUGGUGGUGGUGGUGAGAUAGCAGCGGAGACAAGGAAGAAGAGGAAGAAGGGAAGGCCCUCUCUCUUAGAACUUCAAAAACGCUCUCUCAAACAACAACAACUGCAGGAGCCGCAGCAACCGCAAUUGCUUCUUCAAAAAACCCCUAAUUCUUCUAUCAAUUCGAACCGCCGAUCCACUCGCCGCCACCCAAAUCUCAACGGUGGGUCCCCAGUUUCCGGAUCGAUUUCCGGAGGAGAAGACGACGACGACGACGACCGCCUACAGAAGAAGCAUAAACCAUUGCUUGGUUUCAAUUCUUCUCGUACUGAUCAGCAUUAUCCGAUUCCUUCGGCGCUCAAUUCGGCCUCCUAUGGGUCCGAUUCGAAUGCCGAUGGUGACAAUCCCGACGCGUCACUCAAGCGUCGCAAGUUUACCGCCGCCAAGGCUGGAUCUGAUCAAAUGGUGAUAAAUCAUACAUUAAUAUAUAGAUUUCGCGGGUUUUUUAAAGUCCUGGUUUUGAAACAGAAUCAAGAAAUUGAUUUUCCUACUUUAUUUGGAUAUUUUAUUUUAGGGUUUUAUUUUGGGAAUCGAAAAUAGCUUCUCAUGCGCCGAAAUUUUAUAAUUGCAACAGAGAUGAACGAAUGAGUUUGACUAAGUCAUGUACCUUUUUUUUAUUGGAUAUUGUUUCAACUUUUUGAUUUUCGGCUAAACUUCAAGUUGUUUUGAACAUAGUUUGUCUUCCUUUUCUUUCCCGAUUUACGAAUUUUCCAUUAUUAUUUUAUUAUUUCUUGUCUUGGAUUUAAUCCUUCCUUUAUUUUUGUGCAAAAUAAUAGAUGCACAGACCAUCAUGUCUGUAAAGCUUCAGUUUGUCUUUUCUUUUCUUUAAUAAUAAUACUUCAAAGUUUUUGUUUUUGUUUUUUUUUUUUGGUACUUGCUUUGCAUUGUUGUAGCUUUUUACUGUAACUUUCCUCAGUGAUUCUUCAAUAAUCAACGCAAGUAUCUCUUUUAAUAGUUUUUUUUUCAUUUAAUUUGGGAGUUAAAUAAAUAUAUGUAUUGACACGAGAGUUUAUCUUAUUUACAGGGAGAAAAGUUAUCGAAAGUGACGGACACUCUUCAUGGUAUAAGUCUAUCUCGGUUUUCAUGAAAAAAAGGCAUUUCUGGGAAUUCUUAGAAAAAAAGAAGUGUUGGGCUUUGUUAACUAUAUUAAUUUUAUUUCAUUUAUAUGUGGACAGGUUCACCGGUGGAGUCUGGCCCCACCCCCACGACGCCUUUGCCAGACAAAAAGUUGUUGGUGUUCAUUCUUGACAGGCUUCAAAAGUAUUUGUUAUUUUUGGCUCAUUUGAUUUUUUUUUUCUUAGUUUAUCUUCCGUUUGACGGGUUUUUAUCCUUUUUACUUAAUCUACUUCCAGGAAAGAUACUUAUGGGGUAUUCUCUGAGCCAGUAGAUCCUGAAGAGGUGCAUUUUGUUUUUCAUUCUUGCAUAAAUCUAGAUUACUGAAAAGUGAAAUCACGGUUCCUGAUAUAAUGUUUGAUUGGUCUUGAUACAGCUUCCAGAUUACCAUGAUAUUAUUGCACACCCAAUGGACUUUUCGACAGUCAGGAAAAAACUUGAUGAGGGAGCUUAUAUUACCUUAGAACAAUUUGAGGUUUGUUUUGCAAGCAUUCUCUUUGCUAAUGUGGAUAAAAUGUUCGUCUAUCCGUCUUCCUCCUGACAUAGUGGAGAGGGAAAGCCAACUAAGUUGUUUGACUGCAUUACUGUCAAUGGUGAUUAAGUUUCUGAUGUUAUUUUCUGGAUUUCUCUGGUUGAUGUGUGUUUUUGUAGCAAUUGUGUAUGGCAAGUCAAGUGUGUGUUGUCAGUCAAGCAAGUCCUUGAAGAAUACUGGAGGCAUGCUAUGCCUUUUGAGAUUACUGUAGUAAAGAUGUUGGCUAUGAUGUUUAAGUACUUCAUUAAGUUCACUUGUUUGGGAUAGCAUUUUGGCCUCUUAUGCCUGGAAGAUUCUUUAAUUUGGUUUGAGAAGAUAAUUACUUGCCUUUGUUUUUUACUGUUCGUAUGAUAUAUAAUUUAUUUGGUACUGCCAAUGGUUUGCCUAUGAUUUGUGGAAUUUGAUUGCAAAACUUGUUUUGUUUAGCAUGGGAUCUUACAGUGUUACUCUUUCCUAGCAGAUAACUAUAUAUGCUGUAAGUUGCUUUUUGUGGUUAACUGAGAAGAUGAAAAUCCUAAUGAAAUGAUUUUCAUGUCAGUAUAAAUGCCCUGGACCAGUGGGGAUAGUCUUUAGAUGCUACAAACAUGUAGUAAUCAAAACUUAGAUUUAGGGGAUAUAGUUUUUCUGGAAUGAUACUUGAUGUAUAACUGAAAAUUUGUGAGUUUGAUUCAUGCAGAUUGAUGUUUUCCUAAUAUGCUCGAAUGCAAUGCAGUAUAAUGCACCAGAUACAAUUUACUUUCGACAGGUUUGUCUAGGUCUCAAUUGUAUUAAUUCCUUUGUCAUGAUACUGUGGUCUCUGUUAUUUUAAACGUCUGGAUUGGAUGGUUAGGCACGAUCAAUGCAGGAGUUGGCUAGAAAGGACUUUGAGAAUUUGAGGCAAGAUAGUGAUGAAGGUGAACCACAAGUGAAAGUUGUGAGGAGAGGAAGGCCACCUGGAAAGAGCCUCAAAAAGUCAUUGGUUUCAUCGUCAUCUAUUGACCAUGUUGGUUCUGAGUACUCCUCAGAUGCAGCACUAGCUGCUGGACGAGAUGCUUCUAGCCUUUCAAACACUUACAAUUUGAGGAAAGCACCUAAUUCCCUCAAACUACGGCCUGCUGAUACAUUUAUCAGGCCCUCCUGGGGUUCUCCUAGCAAAGAAAAUCAUGCCAUUUGUUCAUCUGAAUGGGAGAAUGAAUUUCCAGGUUUGGUAUUUAUCUGACUUUAUAUACAUAUCCUUAAGUCUUUAGCUUUUUUAAUGUAAAAUGUUAUUUACUACAUAUUUUCUGUAUUUCAUAUUGAGCUAUUUUUCUUUCGUUUUGUAGCUUCUGUUGUGAGGGCUGUGAUGAAGUAUGGGAUGAAACAUUUUGCAGUAGAUGAGAACAGGCGUGACACCUACAACCACUCAUCGACUUCUGGACAUGAGCAACAUACCUUUUCCACCUUGGAUGGAGAAUUGAAGCAACUAAUUCCGGUGCGUUUUAUGUUUGUAUAAUGGCAAUAACAGUUAUUAAUGCAUUAGUUAGAAGAUUAUUGUAUGAGCUGUAUAGCUAGAAUGUUUGAUCUACCUUAGACUCAUUGAGCGCAGCUAAGGAAUCCUAAACUUUU